CAAUCCGAAGACGUGAUGCGGACCGAAUUAAGAGUAGGGAAGUGUGUGAGCCAUGCGUCAAGAAAAGCCGCUAUUGUUUUACUUAAGCCCGUACCGUAAACCGACACAGGUGGAUGAGGAGAGAAUCCUAAGGCCGACGGGAGAAGCAUUGUUAAGGAACUCGGCAAAAUGACUCCGUAACUUCGGGAGAAGGAGUGCCAGCGAGAGCUGGCCGCAGAGAAUUGGCCCAAGCAACUGUUUAGCAAAAACACAGGUCUAUGCAAAACCGUAAGGUGAAGUAUAUGGGCUGACGCCUGCCCGGUGCUGGAAGGUUAAGAGGAGAGGUUAGCGGCAACGCGAAGCUUUGAAUUUAAGCCCCAGUAAACGGCGGCCGUAACUAUAACGGUCCUAAGGUAGCGAAAUUCCUUGUCGGGUAAGUUCCGACC
rnacentral:rRNA from 1 species